rnacentral:rRNA from 1 species
UACGGGGGGGGCAAGCGUUGUUCGGAAUUACUGGGCGUAAAGCGCGUGUAGGCGGCCACGCAGGUCCGUUGUGAAAACUAGAGGCUCAACCUCUAGACGUCGACGGAAACCGUGUGGCUAGAGUCCGGAAGAGGAGAGUGGAAUUCCUGGUGUAGCGGUGAAAUGCGCAGAUAUCAGGAAGAACACCAAUGGCGAAGGCAGCUCUCUGGGACGGUACUGACGCUGAGACGCGAAAGCGUGGGGAGCGAACAGG